AGAGUGAACGCUGGCGGUAGGCCUAACACAUGCAAGUCGAACGGCAGCACAGUAGGAGCUUGCUCUUACGGGUGGCGAGUGGCGGACGGGUGAGGAAUACAUCGGAAUCUACCUUUUGGUGGGGGAUAACGUAGGGAAACUUACGCUAAUACCGCAUACGCCCUUCGGGGGAAAGCCGGGGACCAGCAAUGGCCUGGCGCUGAUAGAUGAGCCGAUGUCGGAUUAGCCAGUUGGUGAGGUAAUGGCUCACCAAAGGCGACGAUCCGUAGCUGGUCUGAGAGGAUGAUCAGCCACACUGGAACUGAGACACGGUCCAGACUCCUACGGGAGCAGC
rnacentral:rRNA from 1 species